rnacentral:sRNA from 1 species
CUGCAUUAGCGGUAGUAGCGGCAUCCUUUUUUUAGGUCUAUAUAUAAUGACAUGAUAAGAACAUAAUACUAUGAGACAACAUAUUCUGCACUAAAGUAAACCUAAUAAAAAAAGAUACAGCGGAUGACGCGACGCUUU